UUAGUCAUUACAAUUCAUAAGGGCAUUUUAAAUUUGAUCCAUAAAUUUUCUCCGGCAUCAUCCCACGGACACGGACCAGUCCGCACACACUAAUUUAGAAUAAAUUAAAAAACUUGAACCCUAUAUCGAACAACUACCUCGUAAGCGUGGUCGCCCAGUCCUAUUGCACCACCUUCUCUGUCGGUUUUGUCAUCGUCGUCCCUCCAGCGGCGCAAGGAUGACGGAGGGCCACAACAGCCUUGUCCAGCGGUUGCAUGCCGUUGAGGAGAAGCCGCUCUGCCUCCUUUUGCGCGGUGCGGAGACUGCUGACGGAGCCCUGUGGCGGUCAACCCGCUUCAAUGCGGCGCAACAGAGUUGAUUUCUUGGGACGCGACAUCCGCAUUGAAGCGGCGACGCCCAAGAUAUCGCAUAUGUCUGUGCCACCCUCUCAUCCUAUCAAAUUACAGGCAUCAAUGUCAGUCAUUGCAUGCUCUCGACUGGCACGAAUGCAAGGGGAAGCGUCGCGGGCGUUUGCUGGAAAGUGCAGGAAAGGCAGGUGUGUAGCUCAUACUUCACAUCGUAAGGCAUGCACUAUAUGUGCAUCCAUCGUUGCGAUCAAAUUGCAGGCAUCAAUGUCGGUCACCGUACGCUCUCGACUGGCAUGAAUGCGGCAGGAACUGCCGCGGGCGUUUGCUGGUAAGUGCGAGAAAGGCAGGUGUUGCAGCUCAUACUUCACAUUGCCACACAUGCACUAUAUGUGCGUCGUCGCUGCGGAUGCAUCGGUGGAUGUGCGCAGCGUGCCCGAGAGCGUCGCACGGGAGCUCUGUGCAGCCAGAGAUCAUCUUCUCGGGCCCGUUGCUCUGUGCAACUCGCUGUCGCACGCAGGUGCCGCUAGCUUGCGUUGUUGCACCUUUGAGUCGUUUGAUCGCGAUGCUGCACCUCGUGCCUCGUGUCGAGGGAAUGAGCCUGACAAUGAAUACUAGGGGUACGAAUGAGGGGCAGAGCCUAACUAAGGCACAUGUGUACCACUCGUAUUUAGCCGAGUUCAGGCCCCCCUCGGAGAGGUAAAGACCCUACGUCUCGUGUUCGGAGGCUUGUGUUUUUUCUAGGGGUGUCUGAUUACACAAGGUCUUGAAGCCUUGACACGGAGCUCGAGGGUGGCUUAUAUAGAGUUCGCCAGGACCCAUCGUGCAUCAUUACAAGGCUAAUUAAUGCGAGUAACUACGAGAGUUACUAGAAAUUGCAGCCCUAACUACGAUUGUUACUGGUAACGCUAGUCAUGACCGCAUUUCAUGUGUGGCGUUAAGUCCCCCGGCCGUUGCACAUCCCAUGUCAUCCAUGCCUCUUCUCUGUCCGGGUGUUGAUGCUUGGCCGACUGACAGGAAGACGUCCAAGUGAUUUCAUGGAUCCGAGUGGAUCCGGUGUAUGCAUUCGAAUGCAUCCAUAGUCCUGAGAUUUUAAUGACCGUGAGGGGCCCUAAGUGGGCCCCGUAUGUAGGGUCCAUGACCCUACCACUACUAGGUGACCCCAUCACCCCUUCAUGCCCCCUCGUCUUGGUGGCACAAGCAUCUACAAGUGCUGGUGCACCCCUCCAUGGCGGCCGACAAGGUCCUUGGGGCCGAGAGAGAUCGCGGGCGGGGCGAGAGCGGCUGCAUGACGGGGGGAGCACAGCGGCGCGACAUGACAAGGGACGUCAACUGCGCCAUGCCGGGAGAGAGAGAGAGAAAGCAAAGUUGUGCGAGUGAAUGCAUGUAGGCCACACAGGACAUGCAUCGGACACAGGCGGGUGAAGCGGACACAGAAAACGUCCACUUUGUGUCCGCCUUCGACCCAAAUCUAAUUCAAAUUUAAGAUUGAAAUAGGUUAAAGCGGGCACAAACCAAAUAUAAAAUGGAAAUGAGUUCGGACAAAGUUUUUAUCGACACGAACGGACACAAAUGAGCGAAAUAGAUCUGUUGGAGCUGCUCUUAUUGCAUAAUUGGUGUUGCCUCUAAAAAUACUACUACUAGUAUGAACCAGUUUAUAUUUCUCGAUUGUUAAAUGUCUAGGGUCUCCAUGCCAAAAUUGCUAAGUGCUGGCAUUUUAUACUAUUCCUGAUGUCCGUUGGAUGGAUAACCAACACUGGAUGGGAAGGCGUAUGUUAUGUUGUGACUGCCAGAGGCAUGUCAUCUCAUCCCGGUCCAUGUCACACUGCAUUGUAUGUUUUCUUCACUGGAAAGUAGCUAGGUGGAUUUUUACAUCAACUAGCUAUGGAAUGUUACUAGUAUCUACUCCCUCCGUUCAAACUAGUUUUCCCUAACUAUAAUUAUUUAGAUACAGAGAGAGUAGUAGUAGUAAUCUAGCUGGAGCUUCAUAUAUGUUCGUUCAGCUGCAUUUUUUUUAGUUAUUGCUUAUUACAUACACCGCAAGCUCAUGAUUUUAUACUUUUGGUCCAACAAAAAACGAUGAUCAAAUUUUAUUUUCAGCCAAGGAAGAAGCUCGCUCCCAAGAGUGCAAAAUGAAGGCAAGGCACACGAAAUGAUAAGAGUAACAUGAUAUUGAGUGUUGUUGCCACUCAAAAUGGUUAAAAAAAUGAACUUCUGCCGUGAACUGCUAUGAUGAACUGUUGUCAUGAUUCUCUUUCUUUAGCCCAGAUGAUAUAUUCUUGUUUUAUUUGAUUUAAAGUCACGCAAAAUGACAGUGAUGUUAAAGUAGAUUGUGGUGGUGUUAAGCAAAUGGGUGUUGGUUUUGUAUCCUGAUGCAUGCUUGCCUUUAAUGCUCUUUGUUCAUACGCCACUGAAGCUAGUAACCUAGCAAUAAAAAGUUGUGUUUUUUUGCUUCCAGUAGUUGUAAUAAAGAUUGGUUUUUUUGUGUUGUUCAUGGAGUGAAAUUGUAGGUUGUGAGAGAGCCAUUAGUCAUUUAUAUAUGAUGAAAGUAAGCUAAAGAAAAAACCUCAGCUCAAAUCUGCCAAACAUUCAGUACUACGGAUGGGGAACGGGUUUGGGAGGGGAAAGAGGUUCGGUGGGGAUUUAGUGAAGGGAGGGAUUCACCAAAUCCCAAAGGCUUUGUUUGGUUAUAGGGGAACCACUCUCCUAAGGCCUUGUUUGGUAUUAGUGUAUUUUAAGAAAUUUGGGGGGAUUAUCCCGAUCAAACCCCUCAAUUCCCACACAUCCCAUAACAUCAUUUGGUUCUAAUGUAUUUGACAUGUUUCAUCCCCAUAUUUCCCCUCAAAUCUUCAAAUUAUAGUGCACUUUUUUCAAUACCCAAUACACUACCCCUACCUAGUGUAUUGGGGAUAAAUGGGGAUUUGAAGGGAUUGGGUGAAGGUUGGGGUUUCACCCGAUCCCUUGAAGAAUUAUCCCCACCAACCUCCUCAAAAACACUAGUACCAAACAAGACCUAAUGAAACUAAUCCACUAGGGGAUUGGGUUGAUUCCCGCUUGUCACCUAAUCCCCUAGGGGAUCAAUCCCCUUUAACCCCUCCAUUCCACUUUAACAAUAUUUCAUUUGGAUGGGGGAAAAGCCCGUGCAAAACAAUAGAGUACGGUAAAACUCAUCAGAUUAGCAUGGCAUCAAAUGUAAAUAGGCCAAGGUUCAAUCAGAUUAGCAUUGUAUAGUUUAUUAAAUAGGACAAGUUUCAAUCAUACUAAAAAUGUCUGACACACGGUAGAAGGAAAGUGGGUGGACGGGAGGUUGAUUUUCACAGGAGAUGAUGUGCAACAAUAGGGGAGAGGAGGCUCAGGAGAAAAGCAACAGGAGCUCUCCCGGGCAUGGCGAGAGAGAGAUAGUCGGCUGGUCGCGGUCGUGUGGGAGGAGGAUGACGGGGAGCUGUACCUCCGUUGAGGCGAAGGGAGGCAGAGUUCGCCGUCUCUGGCGGCGCCCCGUCUCCUUUUGGCUGUGCCACCAUCAGUGUCGCCUCUGGUGGAUUGGUUCCACGGGUAGGAGGCGAUUUUUCUGGGCCCCGUGUACCACGCCUCAAACCAAAC
rnacentral:lncRNA from 1 species